CCUAGGUCCGUUAUGUGGAGUACACGCGAUUUGAAACUAAAGAGCAAUCGAAUCUCGGAGAUCGAAGAAGCUAGGUUGCUUAUUGUUUCGAGAUACGCGACCGGUUCAAGUGAAUGCAACUGCGGUUCUUGUGAAUCUCUCUUUGGUGAAAUCCAACAAACGGUCAGGAAAUUGUUCCACCGUUGAUCGACGUUCUCAAAUGCGAGAGUGAUUUUCAGUUUGGCUCUCGAGGGCGAGAACAAGACGGCGAUCGGUGUUCUUGGAGCGCUGGAGCCGUUGUUUCAUCUGAUCCGAGUCGGGACUGAGUUGACUCGGCAUGACUCGAUGCUUGCUCUGUAUUAUCUCUCUCGUGCAGAGCAACCGAGGGAAGCUCGUGAAGCUCGGAGCCGUUCAGGUUCUUCUGAACAUGGCGAGGUUAGGACAGGCGAUGAAUAGGGUUCUGCUGAUUGAUUCUAUGUAACAUGGCUUCGUGUCCGGUGAAUCGACCUGCUUUACUUGACUCGGGAGCUGUCGAGUGUAUGGUUGGGAUUUUGAGAGGGCUUAGAGAGGCUAGUGAGUCGACUCGGUGGCGACGGUGAGAAGUCACAUGUUAACACUUGUAAAAUCUCCACAAUCCUAAUCUAUAUGUUCACAACUUACAUCUGUUCUCAACGAUUCUUAGUUCCAUAAUCUUUUUUGGUGCUCAACUCUGCUAAUAAUUCUCAUGGGCAAAGCAGUUUCGUGGCAAGAGCUGGUACUGACAGAAAGCAGUCGUUUUGCCCAUACUGUGUGAGAGUGAAAGACCUUUUGCAGCACUUGGAUGCUAAGUUCCUUGGGAUUGUACUCGACAAAGAGACGGUAACCAAACUGCACAAAGACAGUAAGUUGGUUUAUGUUGACUGAAGCUGGAGCUUUCACUGCAAAAGCUUGAACAAUUUCUGCUUUAUAAGCACAUCCAUUUGUGAUUUGCUUCUUCUAUCAGGAAUAAAAGAGAACAAGUUUGUGUAAUAAAUGUCAACUUUGUCUGAAACUAAGUUGUGGUUAUAUCGAAGUCGGUUGAUACAUUUAUGUUUU